UGCGCAGUCAUAUCACCCUGUAGCCCAAGACUGGUUGCCCACUGAAGCUAAGCAGGGUUGAGCUGGUCAGUACCUAGAUGCGAGACCUCCUGAGAAAACUAGGUUGCUGUUGGAA
rnacentral:rRNA from 1 species